AUUGAACGCUGGCGGCAGGCUUAACACAUGCAAGUCGAGCGGUAACAGGAAGAAGCUUGCUUCUUUGCUGACGAGCGGCGGACGGGUGAGUAAUGCCUAGGAAUCUGCCUGGUAGUGGGGGAUAACUUGCCGAAAGGUAAGCUAAUACCGCAUACGUCCUACGGGAGAAAGCAGGGGAGCCUUCGGGUCCUUGCGCUAUUAGAUGAGCCUAGGUCGGAUUAGCUAGUUGGUGGGGUAACGGCCUACCAAGGCCUCGAUAGGUAGCCGGCCUGAGAGGGUGAACGGCCACACUGGAACUGAGACACGGUCCAAACUCCUACGGGAGGCAGCAGUGGGGAAUAUUGCACAAUGGAGGAAACUCUGAUGCAGCGACGCCGCGUGAAUGAUGAAGCCUUCGGGUCGUAAAGUUCUGUCCUUGGGGAAGAAACGGACGGUACCCAAGGAGGAAGCCCCGGCUAACUACGUGCCAGCAGCCGCGGUAAUACGUANGGGGCGAGCGUUGUCCGGAAUUAUUGGCGUAAAGGGUUCGCAGCGGUCUUUUAGUCAGAUGUGAAAUACAUAGGCUCA
rnacentral:rRNA from 1 species